rnacentral:rRNA from 1 species
UACGAAGGGGGCUAGCGUUACUCGGAUUGACUGGGCGUAAAGGGCGCGUAGACGGUUCGUACAGUCAGACGUGAAAUUCCUAAACUCAACCUGAAAACUGCGUUUGAUACGUGCGGACUUGAGUUCGGAAGAGGGUCGUGGAAUUCCCAAUGUAGAGGUGAAAUUCGUAGAUAUUGGGAAGAACACCGGUGGCGAAGGCGGCGACCUGGUCCGAUACUGACGUUGAGGCGCGAAAGCGUGGGGAGCAAACAGG